UAUUACUAAAUCUAUAUUUUUACUGCUUGAUUUUUUUUCAGGACUCCACUCCAUGGGCUUCAGAUCACUACCCGGGAAACUGCUGUGGUUGGAGCUGCAAUAGGCUGAUGGAUAAAUAAAUCUUCUGUCCCAUCCUCUUUGCUUAAUCUGGGAUUCUCAAAGGUAUUCACACAUCAGAGAAGCUCUGUCUGCCACUUCCAGGGAUGCAGUACUUCCCCUGAAGGAGGAGAGCAAGCUGAUGUGGCUGACUAGGAACUACAGGACUGCUCACGUUUGUUAAGUCUUGGUUUCGGCAGAGCCUCAAUCUGGCUGCUGGCUUUUUGGACCUCUGAAGAUGCUGCUGUGCUUGGACUCAGUGUGACUCUUCUCUCAGAAGAAGAGCAGCAUUGCAGCAAGAGAAGAUGCAUCCUCAGGAAAUCACAAACCUCACAGGAAGUGUUAUUUUCCAUCAACGGUAACUGCCUGUGUGCAGUUCUGGGAGGACAGAGCUGAAACAAGACAAGAACAAAAGCUGCAGAAGUAAAACUACCUCUAAAGCUCCUUUUAAACACACAGCACAGGAGGGAACAAAUGGACACUGAUUAUGAUGAAACCUUUUGCUUCCUGUAGUGUUUGGCAUUCCUUAAUAUGUCCUGAUAGCUUUGAUUUCCUCUCCUCCAUUGCAGCAUCAAAGAGUAAGUAGGCUGAAUGUUAUCCAAUUGGUCAUUUGAAUACCAUCCUUUUUAACCUUCUAUUCCCC
rnacentral:lncRNA from 1 species